rnacentral:lncRNA from 1 species
UACACCAAUCUUUUUGUGAAAUAGAUCCGUCUAGUAUUAGCACUAAAGAAAUGUUUCCAACGGCAUAAUCUGGGUUUGAGUCACAGUAGAUACCAAGCUGUGAUUAAAUGUCAAGACGCAAAUGACUGUCGAACAGAAUGUAUCCUGGCAAUUCGAGCAUGACGUCUUGAAAUGGUAUCUGAUCCGUUGGUCCUCGAUGAUACUAGAGUGGUGUAUUCAUCCAUUGGAUUCGUUCAUAUGGUGGAGAGGAGGCCACCUAUUUACUCAAACUCAGCUCUGAAUCGAACAUUCUCCAAUAAAAAUUGAGGCCCUAUGGUCACGUCGAGAAGAGAUAGAUGCACCCUAUAGUCUGCAUUCGGGAUCAUUGCCCUUCAACGGUCCC